UACGUAGGGUGCAAGCGUUAAUCGGAAUUACUGGGCGUAAAGCGUGCGCAGGCGGUUUUGUAAGCCAGUGGUGAAAUCCCCGGGCUCAACCUGGGAACUGCCAUUGUGACUGCAAGGCUAGAGUGCGGCAGAGGGGGAUGGAAUUCCGCGUGUAGCAGUGAAAUGCGUAGAUAUGCGGAGGAACACCGAUGGCGAAGGCAAUCCCCUGGGCCUGCACUGACGCUCAUGCACGAAAGCGUGGGGAGCAAACAGG
rnacentral:rRNA from 1 species